rnacentral:lncRNA from 1 species
AUGAUGUACCGCUUGUUUUCCGCCUUGGGUGUUCUAUUCGGAAUGGCCUCAGCGGACGGCUCUUAUGGCUUAGGGCCGGAGCCAAAGAGGAUAUGUCCUGGGAUGCCAUUCACUUUUACACUGACAUAUAGGAUAAGCGGAGCAGACCUGAUGUUCUACAAGAACGGGGUCGAGAGGAAGGUUGCCACUACCAAGGAGAUUAUAGACCCCCAGUUUCGGCUCAAUGGCAGUGAACCUUAUUUACCCGAGGUCAUGAAAACGCAUGAAGGGAAGUAUUAUUGGAAGGCUCCAUCGGUCGAUUUUGAACUGAAUUACAUCAGACUAAUUCUGAAAGACUGCAGUGUUCGUCAAAAUGUGGUGUACGGUGAGGAGUUGGCCUUAAAUGUGCCGGCGGACGCGUCUGUGUUGGAGUUCACCCCUCACCUCUCAGACCAACACUCCGUCCUGUGGAGACGGAUACACAGAGGGGGGGACGAGGAAGCAAGGGGCGCGGUUAAGGACGGCCGCUGGACAGCACAGAGGAUGACCCAAGCGGAUCAGGGGCGCUACACUUUACUCAGGGAGAGUGGUGGCCAGAUCUCCAGCACUGUGGUCUCUGUUGAAGAACUCCAAAUACAUGCUCACGUGGCUGAUGACGACGUCAGAGAUCACUGGAGAACUGAUGUUAAUAUCUCUGCACGGGAGGCUGUAGUCACUUACUUUACGGCUUUCGGGGGUGAGCAUGUGCUCUUCCGAGACGGCAUGGAGACUGAUGAGGGCUUCGACAUUUUUGGAAAUCGUAUCACACUCCAAAAGUCAACGCUCCAAAAGUCAACUUUCAGCAUCAGCAAAGCGCAGCCAAGUGACGCAGGACGAUACGAGAUCCAUGACAAGAAUGGACAUCUGGCCAUCUCACUGUAUCUGGAGAGAGACCCUGGUCAGUCGUAUGCCAUGACCUGUUUUUAUUGUUGUAUAAUGUAGUUAUUAAUUCUACUUCAAUCUCUUUCUGCGUGUCAACAUUUUUCUCUCUCCUUCAAUCUCUCAGAAGAUGAAGAGUUUUAUCCUACGAGUUUAGCCACUCCUCUUGGCAUAUCUGCGGGCGUGCUGGUUGGACUGCUGUGCUGUUGCUGGUGCUGUUGCAAGUGCUGUGGCAAGUGCUGUGGCCAUGACGAUGGUGACAAGACUGAGUCCGCCGCUGCUUCUCCAGACGCCGAGCAACCCGCUCACAUCCAUGUAAGCGCUUCUAUAUAGGGGAAAGUCUUGCAGGGGUCGUGACCUCGGCCCUUUGUGACAAGAGCAAACACGUGGAGUUGAUUCAUGGAGGGUUAAAAGAAGGAAUAAAAACAAGGCACCCCUGAUGUUAAACUUAAAG